AUGAAGGCUUACGCUGACAAGAAAAGAACUGAGAGAGUUUUUGAAGUGGGACAAGAAGUGUUUCUGAAAUUGCAGCCAUAUGUGCAGUCUUCGGUGGUCCAUCGAGCCAACCAUAAACUUGCAUUCAAGUUUUAUGGGCCAUAUAAAAUCUUGGAACGUAUUGGGGAAGUUGCCUAUCGACUGAAACUUCCUGACUCAAGCAGAAUACACCCAGUUUUCCCAGCUCAAACAAUACAUCAAGAAUCCUGUUCAGGUACAGUCUGCUUUGCCAUCUAA
rnacentral:rRNA from 1 species